UCUGACAGCACUUCUGUAUCAGACGGCCCACUAUGUGCAGCUGAAUUUACAGUCUGUCCCACCACCACUGGCCUGCACGAGUGAGCCACAGAGAUGGCAUCGUCCAAGAACACAGGCAUUCCAUCCAGAGGCAGUGAGUGAACUUGUUGUCCUGAAGCCAAAGUCAGCUGGGAAGACUGGAAUCAAGUCUACUCUAUACAGGGCUUACACAGGUCCCCUUCCAGAUUCUGAUGUAUUGGCUUCUGGUACCAAACUGAGUCAGAUCCAUCCCCGGCCUUUGCUGGCACACAUACUAGAGGGCAUGUCAAAAAUAGAGUUGGUCCCCUCACAGUUUGGUCCUGUACCUCGUGGUAGUCCACUUUCAUACCAAUGUCCCCCUAUAGCUGUAGAUAUUCCUGUUGUUAAUUUCCCCCCACUACCUGUGCUUGGCUAUCAGUUUGGUUGUAAUUUUAAAUAUGUGCCCACACACCAUCAAUCACUUCAUCUGGAGUCUAUAAAGGUUACCCAUUAUUCCGCUUGUCAGAUUGAAGAGGCCACAAGACUACAGUCAAAAUGUACUGCUUGGAGACAAAUGCGGCAAUCAAGGGUUACUGCAAGCAGGUUCCGGGAGGUUAGUCAUGUAGUUGGGGAUUCAACUGGUCAGUCAUUAGCGGCAAGAAUCAUCAAGGGCACGAGGCAGACAAGUGCUAUGAAACGUGGCCUUGAACUUGAGCCAGAUAUUUUGAGAAAAUAUUCUGAGAUAGCCAGUGUUAGUGUCCUACCUUGUGGUUUUAUUAUCAACCCAGAAGCACCACAUCUAGGAGCCAGUCCAGAUGGACGAGUGCAUGAUCCAUCUGAAACCUUCCAAUUUGGACUAGUGGAAGUAAAAAGCACAUCUGCUGAUAACAUUGCCCAGGUUCCAUUUAUCAAACUUCAAAGAGGACAAGCCAAACUCAAAGAGACCCACAAGUACUACUGGCAGGUUCAAGGCCAGCUUGCAGUGACUGGUCUACAGUGGUGUGACUUUGUGACUGACACAAAAUCAGAUUUCACAAUACAGAGGAUCUGGCGAGAUGAUGCCUUCAUAGCAUCAAUGAAAGACAAGCUAGACAUGUACUAUUAUUAUGUUUACAUGGAUGUGUAUCUUUCAGUGGUAUAAAUGUACGGUAACACUUUACUUGAAUGGGUGUGCGUAAGACUGACAUGACU